ensembl:lncRNA
GUUUUUUGUGAGAGUUUGUAGCAUUAAUUCUUAGCAAUAGUGUAUGUGGAGUUCUGGUAUGGCACUGCAGACUUUUGAAAAUGUCUCUUUGUGACUUUUGUCCUACUGCUUGCAAAUAGCUAAAUAAAAUUAAAUCUUGAAAAAUAUCUUGAUGCUUAGAUAUUACAAGUUUGGGAACAUUCUGAUGUCUUCUGCAAUGGAGUUUAAUAAAAAACUAAGCACUCUGGUGGCAAGUAAGAUGUAACAUUUAGAGUGUGAUUUCACCAAAAAAGUGUACACUGUAUAGUGAAAAUUUAAGGGUCAGUUUCUAUGCUGUAUUGGUUAUUGUUUUUGCAUUUAUCAGUUUUAUAUCUGUCUUGCCUGUAUCCUAAGAAUUUUUUUCUACUGCUAACUAGGAGGACUUUGCACGGAGCUUCUUUUAGGGGUACUGAAAACUUUCAAGACUGUCUGAGAGGGACUCUUCAGGAAGUAUUGGCUUUACUGAUCUCUCAAAGAGCAACUUCAUUUUUUUCUAUUCUUGUGAUUUGUAUUUUCUUGUUAAGUUCAAAACUUCAGAGGUCUGAGUACAAGUAUAUCCUUCUAAUACGCCGACGACUAUAGUACUAUACAAAGGAGAAAUAAUCAUCAAAUGAAGAAGAGACAGAAGGAAUAUGCAUGCCAAACAAGAAAAAGUAAUAUUUAUUUUCUAUGAUUUUCUAAAUAAUUUUAAUUGCCAUUUAAUGGCAUAGGCUUGUGUUUGAGCAUAGAAUUGAACUGCAACAGAUCUUUUAUCAGCUGUUGCUUCUGUCUAUCAAUUUUUAAUUUAAUCAUCAGAAUUAAAAUUACAGGCAAGAAUUCAUAAUAAUAUUGAAAUUCCAGCAGUAAAUGAAAAGGCAGACUUUGAGUAUAGUGAUGAUACAGCUCAUCAGUUGCUGGAAGCAUAUAAUGAGUAGUAUGAGUGGACCUGUAAUGUUCUCCUGUCUCAGUCACUGCUGAACAGGCAAUGAGUGACUGAUAGCUGCAGUAAAGAAUAUGGAGUCUGGGAACUUUUCUGUGUAUGUUUUCAUGACAUCUUUUAAUCCACACAGACUUUAAGUACUAGAAGCUAAUGGUAAGUUUAAAAAAAGCUCCACUGUUCUUCAGCUUGAACAGGCUGAGGAGAGAUUACUGUUUAAUGGUGGCUGCAGCACUAACAUAACAAGGCAAUAGAACCUGUGGUUAAUAUUUUAGACCAGAAGUAUAAAUGACUUUUCACAUUCUUCCAGAAUAAUGUUUCAAAAAGGAAGUUAUGAGGCUGUGUAAUUGCUGUGUACUCUUGUAAUUGCCAUGAAAAUGUCAAAGAUACUAUUAUUAAAGUACUAGCAUAGCAGCCUUCAUGGGUGGCAUUGGUGCAAGCCAGUAACAGAAAGAUCAGACUUAGAUUUCUAACUGUAGCUGUAUAGGAUAUUUACUCCACAGUUUCCUAUGCUGUCACAGGAAAUACGGAGAGCACCAAAGGUUCUGUUUGUCAUCCCUAUGGCUAGGCUCUGAUUCAGUCCUAAUGUCCUCAGAAUAUAUUCCCAGGCUGUCAGCUUGAACAGCUUGCAGUGAUAAACACUGUUAUGUACCCAAAAUGUCAGACCAUUGGAUUGUUCCUAAGAGUGUAGAGAAAAAUCUAACAUAAAUGAAAUCAAGGAGCAUAGGCUUAGACAGCUUAAAUAGGAAGAAAUAAGCGGGCACACUAUAAAAAUGGAUAAGAACACAACACUUAUUUUGAGCAGUAUCUUUCAAAAGAAAAUUGAGACUGCUUUUCCUUCAAAUCACUCCUGUAACACUGCUUAAAUCACUAUCUACCUGGAUUAUCUGUUGCCUAAGUGCCAAUUAUAAAUUUUAAACCUGUAAAGUGACAGCUUCACUACAGCACGCACAUGGCUUUUAAUGAUCAGGCUGUGGUUUAGAUUACUUCUUCAGUCACGAAUUAUCUUUCAUUUGCUGAACUCCAAUGUUUUAACACAUAUUGGUCAUGAAGUCCGCAACAGAGACAAUAUCUUAGUGAAUAAACAGAAGCAACGUGAGAAAUAUACUGAAUUU